CAGGGAGACAAAUAAAAGAUUGUGAUGUCUAAAUGAUUUAUUUUUAGGCCAUAAUCCUGUCACCUUAGGUCGAUCGGUAUCUCAGUUUAAUAUCAAUUAGCUAAGUAAUUUAGUUUUCUCAAGUUAUUAAAUUCAGUUCCUAAACUUUUGUCUAGGUCACACCCAACAAGGGUACUCCUGGGCCAUUAGCUCAGGUGGUUAGAGCGCACCCCUGAUAAGGGUGAGGUCCCUGGUUCAAGUCCAGGAUGGCCCAUUCGGUGUUGGGGGUAUAGCUCAGUUGGUAGAGCGCCUGCUUUGCAAGCAGGAUGUCAGCGGUUCGAGUCCGCUUACCUCCACUGAUCCACCGCCUAAUGACGAACCUUAAGGAGAUUUUUGUUUGGUUUGAUCUAGAUUUGUUCUAACAGAAUGAACCUAACUUCUUGUCAGCAAUACUAAUUUAUUUAGUUUGCUAGAUAGGACGCUGGGCUCACUGCAAUUUAAUUUGCAGAGUUCUUCAGUAGAACCUUGACAACUGCAUAGAUUAGUCUGGAAAAAAAAUAAAGCAUCUCAUGGAUGCAUUGUUUUUAUUCAUGGUUUAAUUCUAAUUUAUUAGAUUUUUACUAUGUUUUAACAAUAAUGUUUAAUUCUUGAGCAAGAGCCGAGACUCUAUAAUUUCCUUUGAUUGCAGUAGGUUGCAAUCAAAGUUAGAUAUUUAAUUUUUACCUUUAUUUAGGUGGAAUUAAAUAGAAAGUAUUUUAUAGAGAUAAAU
rnacentral:tRNA from 1 species